rnacentral:rRNA from 1 species
AUGAACGCUGGCGGCGUGCCUAAUCCAUGCAAGUCGAGCGAACAGACGAGGAGCUUACUCCUCUGACGUUAGCGGCGGACGGGUGAGUAACACGUGGAUAACCUACCUAUAAGACUGGGAUAACUUCGGGAAACCGGAGCUAAUACCGGAUAACAUGUUGAACCGCAUGGUUCAACAGUGAAAGACGGUCUUGCUGUCACUUAUAGAUGGAUCCGCGUCGCAUUAGCUAGUUGGUAAGGUAACGGCUUACCAAGGCAACGAUGCGUAGCCGACCUGAGAGGGUGAUCGGCCACACUGGAACUGAGACACGGUCCAGACUCCUACGGGAGGCAGCAGUAGGGAAUCUUCCGCAAUGGGCGAAAGCCUGACGGAGCAACGCCGCGUGAGUGAAGAAGGUCUUCGGAUCGUAAAACUCUGUUAUUAGGGAAGAACAAAUGUGUAAGUAACUAUGCACGUCUUGACGGUACCUAAUCAGAAAGCCACGGCUAACUACGUG